GAUGAACGCUGGCGGCGUGCCUAAUACAUGCAAGUCGAGCGAACAGACGAGGAGCUUGCUCCUCUGACGUUAGCGGCGGACGGGUGAGUAACACGUGGAUAACCUACCUAUAAGACUGGGAUAACUUCGGGAAACCGGAGCUAAUACCGGAUAAUAUAUUGAACCGCAUGGUUCAAUAGUGAAAGACGGUUUUGCUGUCACUUAUAGAUGGAUCCGCGCCGCAUUGGCUAGUUGGUAAGGUAACGGCUUACCAAGGCAACGAUGCGUAGCCGACCUGAGAGGGUGAUCGGCCACACUGGAACUGAGACACGGUCAAGACUCCUACGGGAGGCAGCAGUAGGGAAUCUUCCGCAAUGGGCGAAAGCCUGACGGAGCAACGCCGAGUGAGUGAUGAAGGUCUUCGGAUCGUAAAACUCUGUUAUUAGGGAAAAACAAAUGUGUAAGUAACUAUGCACGUCUUGACGGUACCUAAUCAGAAAGCCACGGCUAACUACGUG
rnacentral:rRNA from 1 species